rnacentral:rRNA from 1 species
UGUAGUAUUAAAUUUUAUUAUAGAGUAGUAAUAGAGAGCUUGAAACUUAAAGAGUUUGGCGGUAUUUAAGACUUUUUAGAGGAACCUGUAGUUUAAUCGAUAAUCCACGUGGUAUCUGACCUGAAGAUAUAAGUAUGUAUAUCGUUGUUUAGAAUAAUUUUGAAGAAUAUUUUCAGAAAAUUUUUGGUUUAAAUAACAAAUCAAGGUGCAGCUAUAUUUAGGUAUGAAUGGGUUACAUUAUUUUGUAUAAACGGAUUAUUUAAUGAAAUAGAAUAUGAAGGUGGAUUUAUAUGUAAAAUAUUUUUAAUAAAAAUAUUUGAAUUAGUACUGAAGUAUGC